AUGGGAACUACUGUUGACCCUUAUGUAAAUGAUGGUAAUGGUCCAAAUAUAUACAAAAUAAACGGGCAGGUUUGUCAUCGAAUGGGAUCUCUUAUGCCUAAGGAAGGAAAUACCCCUAAGUAUGCCAAACUCCAUAUAUAUGAUACCCAGAAUGAGGCACAAAACAGGAUUCAGGCUUUAGAAAAGGGUGAAAAGAGUGAUGGUGGUUUAGAUGAAUCUAUUGUUGAAGGCUUGAUGCAUAUGCUUGAUACACACAAUUCUUAUGUCAAAACGUUUAGAUCAGCUAGAGAAAUACUAGCAGCCAAUAGGCAUGCCGAGAUAGCCAUUCGUUUAGUUUCCCCUGGAAAAUCUGAUGGCCCACAGUUUAGCCUUCCUACAACUGAUGAGCUAGCAUCUUUAAUGUUUGGUGAGUUCACGGUGGAGGCUUCUUGUCGUGACAUAAUAAUACACGGUAGAGAUGACAAUCUGCAGCAAAUAUCUUCUUUGCAAACUUCAUAUAUGCCUUUGCAGUAUCCUCUUCUCUUCCCCUAUGUAGACGUGGGUUUUAGCUCGGGCUUAAAUAUAUUGGUUCAGACCCUUUAA
rnacentral:rRNA from 1 species